AGAGUUUGAUCCUGGCUCAGAACGUACGCUGGCGGCACGCCUAACACAUGCAAGUCGAACGGAGUAGCAAUACUCAGUGGCAGACGGGUGAGUAACAUGUAGGUAUCUGCCCUUUGGCCUGGAAUAACACGAGGAAACUUGUGCUAAUACCGGAUAAGUCUUUACGGAGAAAGCUUUACGCACCAUUGGAUGAGCCUGCACUUGAUUAGUUUGUUGGUGGGGUAAUGGCCUACCAAGACUUUGAUCAAUAGCUGAUUUGAGAGGAUGAUCAGCCACAUUGGGACUGAGACACGGCCCAAACUCCUACGGGAGGCAGCAGUGGGGAAUCUUGCACAAUGGAGGAAACUCUGAUGCAGCGAUGCCGCGUGAGUGAAGAAGGCCCUUGGGUUGUAAAGCUCUUUCGUCGGGGAAGAAAAUGACUGUACCCGAAUAAGAAGGUCCGGCUAACUUCGUGCCAGCAGCCGCGGUAAUACGAAGGGACCUAGCGUAGUUCGGAAUUACUGGGCUUAAGGAGUUCGUAGGUGGUUGAAAAAGUUGGUGGUGAAAUCCCAGAGCUUAACUCUGGAACUGCCAUCAAAACUUUUCAGCUAGAGUAUGAUAGAGGAAAGCAGAAUUUCUAGUGUAGAGGUGAAAUUCGUAGAUAUUAGAAAGAAUACCAAUUGCGAAGGCAGCUUUCUGGAUCAUUACUGACACUGAGGAACGAAAGCAUGGGUAGCGAAGAGGAUUAGAUACCCUCGUAGUCCAUGCCGUAAACGAUGUGUGUUAGACGUUGGAAAUUUAUUUUCAGUGUCGCAGCGAAAGCGAUAAACACACCGCCUGGGGAGUACGACCGCAGUUGAAAACUCAAUGAAUUGACGGGGACCCGCACAGUAGUGGAGCAUGUGGGUUUAUUUCGAGAAUACCCCGCAGACCUUACCACCACUUGACAUGUUCGUCGCGACCCUUAAAGAAUAAAAAGAUUUUCGUCGGCCGACGAAAACACAAGUGCUGCAUUGGCUGUUCGUCAGCUCUGUCCUGGAAAGUUUGGUUAUGUCCGCAACAAACGCAACCUACAUUAUUUGGCCUCCACUUCUUUGGCACCUCUGCGAAACAUAGCGCACCGGUAUAGCCUUGGAAAAAGAGGGAUAGAAGAUCAGUUCCAUGCCCUAAGUGGUUACUAGGUCUCCAAUGGAUUC
rnacentral:rRNA from 1 species